rnacentral:rRNA from 1 species
CGAACGCUGGCGGCAUGCCUAACACAUGCAAGUCGAACGCCCCGCAAGGGGAGUGGCGAACGGGUGAGUAACGCGUGGGAACCUACCCAGCAGUUGGGGAUAACCGCGGGAAACUGCGGCUAAUACCGAAUACGUCCUUAGGGAGAAAGAUUUAUCGCUGUUGGAGGGGCCCGCGUCGGAUUAGCUAGUUGGUGAGGUAACGGCUCACCAAGGCGACGAUCCGUAGCUGGUCUGAGAGGAUGAUCAGCCACACUGGGACUUAGACACGGCCCAGACUCCUACGGGAGGCAGCAGUGGGGAAUAUUGGACAAUGGGGGCAACCCUGAUCCAGCAAUGCCGCGUGAGUGAUGAAGGCCUUAGGGUUGUAAAGCUCUUUUACCGGGGACGAUGAUGACGGUACCCGGAGAAUAAGCCCCGGCUAACUUCGUGCCAGCCG